CUUCCAGCGAUGAACCGCGCGCGGCGAGAGUGCGUUCGAUAUAGGCGAACCGCCGCUCGAACUUCGCGUUGGUUGCACGUAACGCCAUCUCGGGAUCGGCCUUGGCAUGGCGCGCCAGAUUGACGACGGCAAACAGAAGNUUCUUCGGCGAUGUGCGAUUGAUCGCCGCUGUCCAGCGCCGCCUCGAUUUCGUCGGCCUCCUCGCG
rnacentral:misc_RNA from 1 species